rnacentral:rRNA from 1 species
CAGCUCAAAUUUGAAAUCUGGCUCCUUCGGGGUCCGAGUUGUAAUUUGUAGAGGGUGUUUCGGGUGCGAUGCCGGUCUAAGUUCCUUGGAACAGGACGUCGUAGAGGGUGAGAAUCCCGUAUGCGACCGGCGAUCAAGCCCGUGCGAAGCCCCUUCGACGAGUCGAGUUGUUUGGGAAUGCAGCUCAAAAUGGGUGGUAAAUUUCAUCUAAAGCUAAAUACUGGCCAGAGACCGAUAGCGGACAAGUAGAGUGAUCGAAAGAUGAAAAGCACUUUGGAAAGAGAGUCAAACAGUACGUGAAAUUGUUGAAAGGGAAGCGCUUGCAAUCAGACCGGUCCGGAGGCGAUCAGCCGCUGCUCGUCAGCGGUGCACUCGCCUGCGAUCCGGCCAGCAUCGGUUUGGGCGGCGGGAUAAAAGUCCCGGGAAUGUAGCUUCCUCCGGGGAGUCUUAUAGCCCGGGUCGCAAUGCCGCCCGCCCGGACCGAGGACCGCGCUUCGGCUAGGAUGCUGGCGUAAUGGUUGCAAGCGACCCGUCUUGAAACACGGACCAAGGAGUCUAACAUCUAUGCGAGUGUUUGGGUGUCAAACCCAGGCGCGGAAUGAAAGUGAACGGAGGUGGGAACCCGUCAGACGGCGCACCAUCGACCGAUCCAGAUGUCUUCGGAUGGAUUUGAGUAUGAGCAUAGCUGUUGGGACCCGAAAGAUGGUGAACUAUGCCCGGAUAGGGUGAAGCCAGAGGAAACUCUGGUGGAGGCUCGCAGCGGUUCUGACGUGCAAAUCGAUCGUCAAAUCUAGGCAUAGGGGCGAAAGACCAAUCGAACCAUCUAGUAGCUGGUUCCUGUCGAAGUUUCCCUCAGGAUAGCAGUAAGGUUUUUCAGUUUUAUGAGGUAAAGCGAAUGAUUAGAGGCCUUGGGGCUGAAACAGCCUUAACCUAUUCUCAAACUUUAAAUAUGUAAGAAGUCCUUGUUACUUAGUUGAACGUGGACAUUUGAAUGUACCGUUACUAGUGGGCCAUUUUUGGUAAGCAGAACUGGCGAUGCGGGAUGAACCGAACGCGAGGUUAAGGUGCCGGAAUGCACGCUCAUCAGACACCACAAAAAGUGUCAAUUCAUCCAGACAGCCGGACGGUGGCCAUGGAAGUCGGAAUCCGCUAAGGAGUGUGUAACAACUCACCGGCCGAAUGAAUUGGCCUUGAAAAUGGAUGGCGCUCAAGC